rnacentral:rRNA from 1 species
UUCUGUAGCAGAGCUUAACGGAGACCUUGCACCCGAGAGGGGGGAGGCGACUAUAAACAAGCUCCAGCGCAAGUCAGCACCGCUGGCAACACAAUCGAAUUGCGGGGACGCUUUAAAGCCUACCAGUACCAACUACCCCUCACCGGGUAGGGCGAGCACGCUCGAGGUCACAAUCUGGUAGGAUGCCACAAUAAGCAAUCCGCAGCGGCUCAGCCGUCCACAGACUAAGUGGUUGUGGGUAGGAGAACCCUAUCUAAGAUAUAGUCGGGCCUGAAGAGAGAUCUCCAGGGCUUCUGCGUCCGUAGGUGAACCUGCGGAAGGAUCAUUAAUAAGGAUGCUGGAAGGGGGUGAGCUCACGCCUCCCCUAGACGGUAUACCCCACCCGUGUCUAUCUACUCUUGUUGCUUUGGCAGGCCGUGGCCUCCACUGUGGGCUCUGCCUGCAUGUGCCUGCCAGAGGAUUAAACUCUGAAUUUUAGUGAUGUCUGAGAACUAUCUAAUAGUUAAAACUUUCAACAACGGAUCUCUUGGUUCUGGCAUCGAUGAAGAACGCAGCGAAAUGCGAUAAGUAAUGUGAAUUGCAGAAUUCAGUGAAUCAUCGAAUCUUUGAACGCACAUUGCGCCCUGUGGUAUUCCGCAGGGCAUGCCUGUUCGAGCGUCAUUAUAACCACUCAAGCCUGGCUUGGUGUUGGGGUUUGCGGUUCCGCAGCCCCUAAAAUCAGUGGCGGUGCCGGUGGGCUCUACGCGUAGUAAAUCUCCUCGCGAUUGAGUUCCCCCGGUGGCCUGCCAGAACCCCCAAUUUUUACAGGUUGACCUCGGAUCAGUAGGGAUACCCGCUGAACUUAAGCAUAUCAUAAGCGGAGGAAA